rnacentral:rRNA from 1 species
AUGUCGAGGGCCGUCAGGAUCCGCGGCGACGAGCUGGAGACGACGGAGCGGGAAGCGAAGAGGCGAAGCGUGGCAGAGGAGGGGGAGGGGACAGCUCUCCACUCCACAAGCCCUAGAUCUCCGGGCGAGCUAGCUGUUCGGACUUCCCAUCCAGAGAUACACUUGGCGAUCUUCGAGCCCAACAAAGCCCAAUCGGAAGCAAAACAAGAUCGUGUGUACGAUGUGGUCGAGUCCGUGGCGGAGGAAUCCUCCGAUCCACCCAGCCCCCCGAUCUACCAACCCUACAUUCCCGACGAGCUAGUUGAUGAUCUGGACGUACUCGCUGACUUCGAGGACGCCAAGGCCAAGUACGAAGCAGAACGGGAUCGUCGAGCUAACCUCUUCACUAUGGAGCAUCACUGCUAUAAAGCAGCCUCCUCCCUGUUCAAGACCCAUCGCUUGCUUCCUAUUCUUGAACAAGCAAGGGAUGCGACACUUCUUGCUGCUAAAUCUGUGAUUUUGCUCUCAUCAUUUGUCGAGAGUGACCCACUGAACAAGUGUUCUGGUUUAUGGUUUGAAAGGGACGAUCAUAGCAAAACCGCCCUUGUUUUGACAUCCGCUCAGCUCAUUCGUGAAAAGAAAGAACCAAAAAACCCAUUCGAGUGGAAGGUGCAGUGGACAGGCAAUUAUCAUCGUCAGGCUGAGGUCAUUGUUCACUUGCUGGACAACACAGCUGUGCCUGCCCGCCUCCUCUAUCUCCAGGAGCAUUAUGAAUUUGCUAUUUAUAAGGUUCAAGUGGACAAGCCAGUUCAGUUGGCUACUUUUACCGAGUGUGUGCGUUCUGGUCAAGAUGUUUUCAGACUCGGGAGAGAUGAAAGUCUGAAUCUUAGUAUAACUCAUGGUAUGGUGGCUUAUAAGAUUCCAUCCUGGUAUGAGAGAUGUCACUAUAUGUAUUUGUCUUGUGAUCCAUCUAGUCCCUCACUGCUUCGUGAUGAUGGAGGACCCAUCAUUGAUUUAGAAGGGAAAGUUGUGGGUCUAGUUAACAACCAUAUUAAGGAGACAUUCAUACCUUCGUUCUUAUUGCACAAGUGCUUGGAUUUUUGGAGAAGAUUCAAUUGUAUGCCUCGCCUCCAUCUUGGAAUGACGUUUACUUCAAUAAAACAUUUAGAUCCUAGCUGUAUUGAGAGAAUGACUCGUAAUCAUAACAUCGAGUCCGGUCUUAUUGUUGAGCAGGUGUCUAAAGGAUCACAUGCUGAGAAAAUUGGAAUUCGUGAGGGUGAUGUUAUUGAAAGCUUUAAUGGAAAGUACAUUUCUACUACAAUUGAGUUGGAGCAGAUGCUGAUAGACAUAUGCUGGGAUCAUUUUGAUCAACGAAAAGAGUUAUAUGCUGAAAAAGAUGUCUCCGUGAAAAUAUUUGAUGCCAUCAAACAACGCCGGAGAACUAGAAACUUGACUGCAAUUGUAUCGGAUCUUGGAGAAGACAUUGUGGAAGGUAAACAUGUCUCUAUUUUAAGUCAUAUUUUUGCAGGAGCCAAAGAUACAUCUGCUCUAAUUGUGAUGUUUUUAUUUGUUGUAGGCACUUACCCUAUCAUGCGAAAAGAAGCCAUGCCAGUCUCGUAA